rnacentral:lncRNA from 1 species
GGUGAGACGUCGGAGCAGGUUCAGUAGUACAAUAGUGAGGUCGAAAAGUGCCGAAGGACAAGGGAGCCCCCUAUAUAUAGAGGUAAUCAACGGUUCAGAUCUACUCAGAAUAACGGUUGAGAUGUGGGGACACUUCGAACAGAGUUCCGCAUUUAAGACCUCCUUGCCACGUGGGCUCCAUCGAGUGGUUGCCACCAUCAUUAAGGCACGUCAGCAGAAGGAAUUACGUUACUCGAAGUCCCA